AUUGAACGCUGGCGGCAUGCUUUACACAUGCAAGUCGAACGGCAGCGCGGGCUUCGGCCUGGCGGCGAGUGGCGAACGGGUGAGUAAUACAUCGGAACGUGCCCAGUAGUGGGGGAUAGCUCGGCGAAAGCCGGAUUAAUACCGCAUACGACCUGAGGGAGAAAGCGGGGGAUCUUUGGACCUCGCGCUAUUGGAGCGGCCGAUGGCAGAUUAGCUAGUUGGUGGGGUAAAGGCCUACCAAGGCGACGAUCUGUAGCUGGUCUGAGAGGACGAGCAGCCACACUGGGACUGAGACACGGCCCAGACUCCUACGGGAGGCAGCAGUGGGGAAUUUUGGACGAUGGGCGAAAGCCUGAUCCAGCAAUGCCGCGUGUGUGAUGAAGGCCUUCGGGUUGUAAAGCACUUUUGGCGGGAACGAAAAGGACUGUGCCAAUACCACGGUUCGAUGACGGUACCCGCAGAAUAAGCACCGGCUAACUACGUG
rnacentral:rRNA from 1 species